AUAUAUAUAUAUAUAUAUAUAUAUAUAUAUAUAUAUAUAUAUAUAUAUAUAUAUAUAUAUAUAUAUAUAUAUAUAUAUAUAUAUAUAUAUAUAUAUAUAUAUUGUAUGGUGAAUGUGUCAUUGAUAGCGCUUUUGAGAAGGUAUGAAACUGACAACCGCUUUUCACAUAUCUCUUAAUAAAACAGCAUAUUAUAGAAUAUAAACAUUAAUUCAUCAAUACAGUUCCUGACGCAUUUUCACUGCGACUCCGACGAGACUUUUCCACACUUUGUAAUAAACAGCUCUAUCAGGAAAUAACCAGCAAAUGGAUGGGAAUUUUUCGUGUGUUCUUAAUGUCUGAUCCACAAUGUAUGCGUGUGUGUGUGUGUGUGUGUGUGUGUA